rfam:Trichinella murrelli scaffold1s, whole genome shotgun sequence.
GCAGCAGUGGCCGAGUGGUUAAGGCGAUUGACUAGAAAUCAAUUGGGCUCUGCCCGCACAGGUUCGAAUCCUGUCUGCUGCG